UACGUAGGGUGCAGGCGUUAAUCGGAAUUACUGGGCGUAAAGCGUGCGCAGGCGGUCUUUUAAGUCAGAUGUGAAAUCCCCGGGCUUAACCUGGGACUGCGUUUGAAACUGGAAGGCUUGAGUGUGGCAGAGGGGGGUGGAAUUCCACGUGUAGCAGUGAAAUGCGUAGAGAUGUGGAGGAACACCGGUGGCGAAGGCAGCCCCCUGGGCUAACACUGACGCUCAUGCAUGAAAGCGUGGGGAGCAAACAGG
rnacentral:rRNA from 1 species